rnacentral:lncRNA from 1 species
UCUGGCCAUGUGGGUGAUCUAUUCUCCAGCCUCUCGAAGUUGUGUAGUUAAUGUACACCCGGUGCAUUCAAGGCUGUAGAACUGGAACACAGGGCGCUAAACCUACCCGGAGAAGACUGUAAACAGUAAGUGCAAAAAUUAUGUGUGGAAUUCUAUACACCGUUGAAAUACGAGAUCCAGCUUUGA